rnacentral:rRNA from 1 species
UACGUAGGGGGCAAGCGUUGUUCGGAUUUACUGGGCGUAAAGGGCGCGUAGGCGGCGUGACAAGUCAGUUGUGAAAUCUCCGAGCUUAACUCGGAAAGGUCAACUGAUACUGUGCGGCUAGAGUGCGGAAGGGGCAACUGGAAUUCUUGGUGUAGCGGUGAAAUGCGUAGAUAUCAAGAGGAACACCUGCGGCGAAGGCGGGUUGCUGGGCCGACACUGACGCUGAUGCGCGAAAGCUAGGGGAGCGAACGGG